GACGUAGGGCGCGAGCGUUGUCCGGAUUUAUUGGGCGUAAAGAGCUCGUAGGCGGCUUGUCGCGUCGUUCGUGAAAACCCGGGGCUCAACUCCGGGCUUGCGGGCGAUACGGGCAGGCUAGAGUUCGGUAGGGGAGACUGGAAUUCCUGGUGUAGCGGUGAAAUGCGCAGAUAUCAGGAGGAACACCGGUGGCGAAGGCGGGUCUCUGGGCCGAUACUGACGCUGAGGAGCGAAAGCGUGGGUAGCAAACAGG
rnacentral:rRNA from 1 species